rnacentral:miRNA from 1 species
UGAAUAUACACACACUUACAC